rnacentral:misc_RNA from 1 species
CGAGGCUCCCGUGGCAGUUCAGCUCUGGCCACCCUUCCUCCUUGUCCGGGUGGCCCUUGGUUCGCACCUCGUUCCACCAACCCUGGAGCUCCUUGUCCAUGUGGAUGUCUGAAGCCAACUGGUAGUAAUGGUUCACAUAAUCCGACACCCACUCCUUGAUGGAGUCCCAGAUGAGCAGGCCGUCGUUGGCGUACGGGUAGUCCUCUAUCGUCAGCUCCAGCUUG